rnacentral:rRNA from 1 species
GACGAACGCUGGCGGCGUGCUUAACACAUGCAAGUCGAACGGAAAGGCCCUGCUUUUGUGGGGUGCUCGAGUGGCGAACGGGUGAGUAACACGUGAGUAACCUGCCCUUGACUUUGGGAUAACUUCAGGAAACUGGGGCUAAUACCGGAUAGGAGCUCCUGCUGCAUGGUGGGGGUUGGAAAGUUUCGGCGGGUGGGGAUGGACUCGCGGCUUAUCAGCUUGUUGGUGGGGUAGUGGCUUACCAAGGCUUUGACGGGUAGCCGGCCGGAGAGGGUGACCGGCCACAUUGGGACUGAGAUACGGCCCAGACUCCUACGGGAGGCAGCAGUGGGGAAUAUUGCACAAUGGGCGGAAGCCUGAUGCAGCGACGCCGCGUGCGGGAUGACGGCCUUCGGGUUGUAAACCGCUUUCGCCUGUGACGAAGCGUGAGUGACGGUAAUGGGUAAAGAAGCACCGGCUAACUACGUG